rnacentral:rRNA from 1 species
UACGGAGGAUGCGAGCGUUAUCCGGAUUUAUUGGGUUUAAAGGGUGCGUAGGCGGGCUUUUAAGUCAGCGGUAAAAAUUCGGGGCUCAACCCCGUCCGGCCGUUGAAACUGGGGGUCUUGAGUGGGCGAGAAGAAGGCGGAAUGCGUGGUGUAGCGGUGAAAUGCAUAGAUAUCACGCAGAACCCCGAUUACGAAGGCAGCCUUCCGGCGCCCUACUGACGCUGAGGCACGAAAGUGCGGGGAUCGAACAGG